AUCCUUUUGUAGUUCAUAAGCGUGAUGAUUGGGUUUUCAUGCGCAUGCGUGAGAUGCGCCUCCCACAAAUCUUGUUACGACGUCGGCACAUUACCCUUCUGACA
rnacentral:ncRNA from 13 species